rnacentral:lncRNA from 1 species
CAUCCUACCAUAUCGUAGUACACAACAAUAUCAUUAUCGACCCAUUCAUAUACAUCCCAAAUAUAUCAGACCUUUUAGGUAAGGAUUAGCCUCACCAGCUAGAGUCUACGUCCAAUUGGAUCUUGGAUAGCACUGUAUGACACUUGCACGGUAAAAAUAUCAGAUCCCGAUUUUUCCAAUAAAAAAAUGAUCAAGACUAAGAAUCACAAAUCUCGAAAAAAGAAUUCUCCGAGCAUUAUUGUCAAUUAAGUACAUCUGUUAUUACAAAUUAUAGACUAUUAAGAAAGUGGCACAAGCACAAACUCAUGUAGAUAUUAUGAAAUGAUCGAUAGACAAAUGACAAGAGAAUAACAAAGUGAAAAGAGCAAAAUUCCCAAGCCGAAUCUGGUUAGCCCGUCAAUGAUAAGCGAAUAUAGGCUUUCAUAAAAAAUUUCGUAGAAUCAUACCGGUUCAUUCAACCUUGGCGGCUUCUUUCUCCUUUGGUUUGCCCUUUUUGGGCUUCAUGAAGCAAAAACAUGAGCAACAUGGACACUGGAAUAAGAAUUUCAUGGCUCUCACUCGUGUGUCUCAAUUCUGAAAUGGUUCUGAAAACCAGUAUGUAUAGGAAAGCAAUGCUGUUCAAAGUGCUUUUUA